GAUGAACGCUGGCGGCGUGCCUAAUACAUGCAAGUCGAGCGAACGGACGAGAAGCUUGCUUUUCUGAUGUUAGCGGCGGACGGGUGAGUAACACGUGGAUAACCUACCUAUAAGACUGGGAUAACUUCGGGAAACCGGAGCUAAUACCGGAUAAUAUUUUGAACCGCAUGGUUCAAAAGUGAAAGACGGUCUUGCUGUCACUUAUAGAUGGAUCCGCGCUGCAUUAGCUAGUUGGUAAGGUAACGGCUUACCAAGGCAACGAUGCAUAGCCGACCUGAGAGGGUGAUCGGCCACACUGGAACUGAGACACGGUCCAGACUCCUACGGGGGGCAGCAGUAGGGAAUCUUCCGCAAUGGGCGAAAGCCUGACGGGGGAACGCCGCGUGAGUGAUGAAGGUCUUCGGAUCGUAAAACUCUGUUAUUAGGGAAGAACAUAUGUGUAAGUAACUGUGCACAUCUUGACGGUACCUAAUCAGAAAGCCACGGCUAACUUCGUG
rnacentral:rRNA from 1 species